GAAAUCACUUGAAGAUUCUUCUACAAAAACUUCUCUUUUCCUACUACUAGUGGUGCCAUUCAAAGUUGACAUUCCGAGCCCUGGAAAGAUGCUUCAUUGUAGAUGUAGCAAAUUCCCAUCCUGAUCUGGUGAUCUGAUAAUCAAGUCGGAGUAAUUACUCAGAUUAAGGCCUGAAGUACCUUCUUCAAAAUCCACUUUUAGUAGUACCAAAUUAGUCUUCAAUAGAAUCUUCUUCGAAUCACAAUCAGCUUUGUCGAACAUAGAAAACUGCUUCUAAUAAUCCUUUGAGAAAUCAAUUGGAUUGGGUCAUCAAUGUACUUCCAUUACCGGUUCUGAGAAUCUGGUAUUUGAAAGCCCGG
rnacentral:lncRNA from 1 species